rnacentral:lncRNA from 1 species
GACACUAGGGCUUUGCUGGAGCACAGACUAUAUCAGAAAACACCCUCCAAGGCCACACCUGUCCCCGUGUCACAUCUAAAACCAAUCAGAAAUAAGGGGGAACUGAGGCCUGGGUAUUUCAGAGAUUCCAGGGGACCAGGCUCUAGCAAUCGGGGUUGUGAAUUAUGUAACUAUGUCCCUACCCCCACCUCCAAGUCAGGGACCUCUCCCCUCCAAAAAAGGAGUCUUAUUCCUGAGGCCCUUCCAUCCUGUCAUUCCGGGAGCCUGUAUGGAGAGCCCUUCCAGCUCUCAAAUUGCCAUCUCAAGAUCACGUCUGCGCCCUCCUUGGCCAUUUUCAUUACAGCGUUCAGGCUGACUUCCCUUUGGGGGCCAUCGCGUCUACUCAGGUGCACGGUUAGAAAGCGAAGGCAGAGGGAGCAGCCGGGACAUCAGAGCUACGGCUACACUGUCACACACACCUGUGCUCACUCAAUCCGUGGCCACACAAUCACCCGAGCACAAUCCCGGUCCAGUCGCAGCCGAACAAUCGCACACACCGUUAGGAGACACACGUUGGCCGCGUCACACCCACUGACGCCCACGUCGGAGACACGGUGCCCGGCCCUGCCACCCCCGCAGCGCCCACGCGCGUGGAACUCACACGCAGCACAGCCGCGGAGCCACAGCCCGGCCGCGUCACCCCGGCAGACGCCCCCGCGCACGCGUGUCACCGCCACGGGGACGGGGCCCGGCUGCGCCACCCGCACACACACUCACGCGCAAGUGCGUCACAGCCACGGGGACAGGCCUGUCCCGUCACCCACCGACGCUCCCACGCACAUUUCGUCCCGGGACACGGCCCGGCCCCCGGCCCUGACAGACACACAGACACAUACACACACCCGCACACACGCUCGCACUUCUCUCCGCAGCCACAGGCCGAGGCUCCACUUCGGGCCUCCUCGCCCGGCGCGUCUCUGUCACCGCCAUCCCGCGCCGCAUCCCGCGCUAGCCCGGUCCUGGGAUGCUAACAGCUCACCGGUUGGGGCCCAGCGACCAGCACACCGUCGGAAAGCAGCGAAAGGGUUGAGCUUAACUGACGACUACGUCUCGGGAAACGCGGAGCGCCCAAAAAAAUCCUUCGCGCAGUAA